ensembl:lncRNA
GUGUCUUAAGACAUCUGAGUGAAAAGUGGGACGUUGAGGCUGGCAGAAGAGAGCGUGAGCACAGUUUGUUCCAUGUGUCGAUAAAAAUAUGGAUACAGAGAGAACAAGAGGCAGGGGGGAAGAGAGAGAAAUAAGAAAGGAAGAAAUGCUGACAACACAGAGGUUAGCUCACAUUCACUCCUCUGUCAAUGAAAUGUGUAAGGUCACGGUUUGGUCAGUCACACGUACUGAAAGAGAAUUCAGCGGAAGACUUGUAAAAGAAGCCCUUUCUGAGUUGACCGGCGCGCUGCAAGGGAAGUUUUCUUUUACGGCGGUUUAAAUAAGUCUGUUUUACAGAGCUGUGCUUACUGUGGUAUUUUUUGGUGGCACAUUGACUUAACCAACACUUUUUUUCCAACAUGUUCCUCACAUCUUUUAAAUUUGUCACCGCUCUCGCCUGUGCCCCUCGCCUUCCUUUACGGCCGCCACCCACCGCGGGAGACUCCAGACUUGCUCCUCCACCCUCCCUUUUCCUCUUGUCUUCCCUUUUAUUUUGUCGUUUUCCCAUAAACAAAGCCCACAGCAAGAGAAUGGCCCGUAUGAAGGAGCCGGGAGUUGUUUUAUAUCCGUUCACUGUUAGUGUUGGGGACUCUUUAUGGCCUUGCUGGCUCCAGUGACGCGUAGAGAGGGUCGGAGAGCUCAACCCACCUCCUAGAAAGCGGUUCACUUCUUGUAACCUUGAAGCCUUUGGGUUUUACUGCCAUUUAAUUGUGUCUGACAGUAAAAACUCUGGCAUAGGUCGCUAUAGCGAUGAAAUACAUUAUUGCCAUUUGGAGAGGACUUUGUGUUGAGUGCUUUUUUUUUUUUUGCUCUGAGGUAUUUAUGAUUUGUCCUGGGAAAGAGCAAACAUGAGGAUAUCCUGUGAUUUGUGGAAGUAAAUAGAAAAUGCAUUCUACAGGAUGCUAAACAAAAAGUAGUCUUUCAGAAUAUUUAAGAGAUUUUCUUUUCCCAAGACUUGGUGUACCCAUUUAGGUAUUUGUUUUUAUAAUUAUAAUUAUGGUUAUAACACUUUUGUUUUGAUAGAAAUAAAGUAAAAACAACAGUGAGAAAAUGACCCAAUAAGUAGAAUGAAAGUAAAUUAAUAAAACAAUACCAAGUAUCAUACGUAUCAUAUACAAG